GUACCGUACGAGCGUUAUUCGGAAUUACUGGGCUUAAAGAGUCCGUAGGCGGCUUAAAAGGUGAGGUGUGAAAUCCCACGGCUUAACCGUGGAAUUGCGCUUCAGACCAUAAGGCUUGAGGGAGAUAGAGGAAAGCGGAACUGAUGGUGGAGCGGUGAAAUGCGUUGAUAUCAUCAGGAACACCGGUGGCGAAAGCGGCUUUCUGGGUCUCUUCUGACGCUGAGGGACGAAAGCUAGGGGAGCGAACGGGAUUAGAUACCCCGGUAGUCCUAGCUGUAAACGAUGAGCACUAGUUCGAGGGGACCCCCACAUCCUCUUGGACGUAGCGAAAGUGUUAAGUGCUCCGCCUGGGGAGUAUGGUCGCAAGGCUG
rnacentral:rRNA from 1 species